AGGAUAUAAUUUGUUUUAAAAAGCCAAUCCGAACACUGUCCUAUGUGUAUAUAGGGUGGCCAUGCUGUUAAAUUUGCACAUAGACUGUCAGUGACUGAGGAUGACCCAAAUUGCAACUUCCUGUUUUAAUGUUGCAAAGGUUGCCUAUGCCUGAUGGUGUGUCAAAUACCCAAAGCUUGCAUGGAGGGACCUAACAAUGGACCUUUUCACAGCUGUGCUUCCAGAAUCUUUAUCGACUUUACUUCAUAGUACAAUAAGAUGAACAAAACACAAACCGCCUGAUUUCCAACAGCUGAUUUAAAACCAAAACCACCAUGUGAGACUUAAUAAUUGAAUUUAUUACAGUUGGUAUAGUACACAUUAGAUAUGGAUGACAUAUCUGCAGUAAGUCAUUGUAAGUCUAGUAAAUAUCCAGAUGAUAACAUCUAUUUAAGAACAGCACUGAUAAUUAUAUACGAGGAGGUCACGUUAAGGGUUCCACAACAAAUUAAAGAGAUGAUGUCCAUGAAGUUAUCUAUGCUACUCUAUAUAAAGCUUGGGUAAUAUUCAGUGCAGAUACUGACUUGUGUUCCUGACUCACAGGCGGUGCUCAGACACAUUUAACCCACUGUCUGACAGAAUGAAUGAACGUGCGCUGUAAGUGAACCCGUUUCGGGCAUGAGGUUAAUUAUUUUCUAUAUGAGUACAUUAAAUCAUUUUGUUUUCCAAGUGUAAAUGAAGCCUUCAAUUAGAUUGAAUAAAAUACAAGAUGUGCACCACCAUGCCUGGCUAAUUUGUUUAUUUUUGUACAGGCAGGGUUUCACCAUGUUGCCCAGGCUGGUCUGGGACUCCUGAGUUCAAGCCAUCCACCUGCCUUGGCCUCCCAAAGUGCUAGGAUUACAGGUGCGAGCCACUGCACCUGUCCUAAAAUACAGAUUUUGCUUAAUUUCUAUACUUGAUGUUCUGGUACAGACAUUUGCUUGGAAAUACAGUAUAGUUAGCAGAAGCCUUUUCAUGGGGAAAUAAGAUAUCAGUAAGUAUUCCAGGACUUUAAACUAGAAUACAAAAGAAGAAAAUAUUUAAAAUAAACUAUAGGGUAAUAUAAAAUUUAUUUACAUCCUUACAUUUAACUGCUUAUUUUACAAGCAAUAAGUUAUCAUUCACCAAUUAAUAAUUUAUGUCAAGUUCACCUGUAUUAAUACACACAAACUUCUAUGAAGUUCCAUAAUGCCAAAUAAAAAAGCAACAUUUAAGUUUAUCAUGUAUUUUAUAUAGGCAUAACGCAACACCAGCAUUACAGGAUUGCAUUUACAAAUUCUCUUGACUCUAAGCAUGAAGUUAGGUUAAAAGACUAAGGCAAUUUAACUGUUUUUGGGUUUUUUUAUAUUUAGGAAACCUAAAUUUGUAUGAGUGAAUUAAAUUGAAUUACAUUUUCUUAUAGGUGUAUCAGUUUACCCUAUCUUUGUUAAAAUAACACGCACUGCCCUACAAAAUGAAUGCCGUAUUCACAAUCAUGUUUCUGCCACAAUCUUAAAGAUUUGGGGAAACAAAUGCAAUCUAAAAUCAGAGACUCCAUGUUCAAUGCCAAAGGUACACACCUCUAUUUUUUCCCCAAUAAGCCUCUUGGAAAAGUCUUUGAAUUACACGUUAAAGUGCACUUCAAGGAAAUGUGAUGUUUUCAUUUAUAGCUGGUGAACAGCAUGCAAUUUAACAGCACUGUCACUAACAAUUAGAGACUGCUCUGGAUCUAAAUACUAAAAAUGACAUACACUGCAAUCACAAGAUAUUUGGACGUGGGAAUUUAUUGAACAAAGUUAGGCCGGGACUCUAAAGCAGCACUUGCUUCUUUUGCUCCAAGACGACGACGUUUAAACGUUAGUAUCACUAUUGUUUCUUUUUCCCUCAACUCUUCUCCCACACUGCCUUCUCCCCCACCACCUUCUCCCAACGUCUUUCCCCGCUUCCCUUCUCCCUCCCUCCGCUCCCCCUUCUUCUCCCAGCACUGUCUUCUCAGCCCGUCUUUCUGCCUUUUUCUUCCCCUCCCUGCCUCAUCCUCUUCUCUCCCACCAAUCUUUUUCUCCUCUCCAUCUAUUUCCCCAAGGUCGUCUUCGCUGCUUUCCCCUCCCUUCUUCUUCCCCCAAACCCGUCCUCUUCCCUACUCCCUCCCCACCCUUUUCUUCCCUUCACCGCUUUUCCAGUCUUCUUCCCCACCUUCUGCCCUUUCCCUCCCCUCUCCUUCCCGACCCUUCUCCUUUCCCACCCCGCUCCUUUCCCAACGUCUUCCCACCUUUUUCUCCCCUCUCCCUCUUCUCCCCUCCUUCUUCCCCACUGCGGUCUUCCCGCAUCCUCUUCUGCAGUCUCCCUACUGUUUUCUUCCCGCACCUUCUUCUCCCCCGCAGUUUUUUCCCCUUCCCCACCGUUUUCUUCCCGCACCUUCUUCUCCCCCGCAGUUUUUUUCCCCUUCCCCACCGUUUUCUUCCCCUCAGUCUCUCCCAUUCCUGGCAGCACGGCUUCUUGUGGCGGCAGCUUUUCCUCCCAUCUUCUUCUAUCCACCCGCUCGCUUCCAGUCUCCACCUUCCCGCCUAUUCCCCCAGCAGCGUCUUCCCGCCGCUCCCUCUUCUCCCCUCCCCCUCCUCACCGUCUUCUCCCGGCCUAUUACCCCCAACCGUUUUCUUCCUCACCCCGCACCGUUUCCUUCCCAUGUCUGCCGCAGUCUUCUUCCCACCCUCUUCUCCUCUCCCCAUCGUCUUCUUUCCCAGCCUCUUAUUCUCCGUCUUCUACCCGCCUCCAUAUCCCCACCUUCUUCUCGCAGCAGCGUCUUCCUGCCGCGCUUUUCUCUCCCCGCACCAAAUCUUCUCUCUUCCUCUUCCCACCGUCCUCUCCCCACGCCGUCCUCUCCCCACGCCGUCUUCUCCCCUCACCGUCUUCUCCCCUCACCGUCUUCUCCCCGCGCCUUCCCCACAACCGUUUUCUUCCCCCCACACCGUUUUCUUCCCCUCACACCGUUUUCUUCCCAUGUCCUCCCACCGUCUGGCAGGAGCGUCUGUCAGUCGCAAUCUUCUUCCCACUUUCUUCUCUCCCUCUCCCCAUCGUCUUUUUUCCCAGCCUCUUAUUUCCGCCAUCUUCUUCCCCUCCCCCACCAUUCUCUUCCCGUUUCCAUCUCCCCACCUUCUCGCAGCAGCGACUUCCUGCCGCGCUUUUCUCUCCCCCUCUCCCUUCUCCCCUCUUCCACUCCCCACCGUCUUCGCCCCCGAUCGUCUUCUCGCCCACCCCCUUCUCGCGCUCUCCCACUGCCUUUCACCUAGAAGCUCUCCAGGCGUGCGCGCGCCUGUGUCCCUGCCCCCGGUGUGUCUAUGCGCCCAGGCAGCCCCAUAAGCUGGGCCCCUGAGCUCCGCCCCAGCAGCCAACGGGAGACCCAGGAGAGUCGCUGCCUGUGCCAUCACGGCUGCCGCCACCCCCGCCCCCGCCCCCGCCGCUGCUUCAGAACUGAACAGUGUUGGCUGCGGGCGGAAGACAGUGGGGCCCAGAAGACUGCGGGGAGAGGGGGAGGAGGGGACGGAGAGGGUGGGAAAGACCUUGGAAAGUAGGAUGGGGAGAAAGAAGGUGGGGAAGAAGACGGGGAGAAAGUGCAGGGAAGAGACAGUGUGGUAGAGAAGACAGUGGAGGAAAACGGUGAGGAGAGGGAGAAAGGAGGGUGGAAAAGAAAACGAUGAGGACAAGGCCGGGAGCGGUGGCUCACGCCUGUAAUCCCAGCACUUUGGGAGGCUGAUGCGGGCGGAUCACAAGGAAGGUCGUGGGAACAUCCAGAGACCUACAGGGAAGACGGCCAUGGGACAAAGGAGGCAGAGUCUGGAGUUAGCUGCCUACAGUCACGGAAUGCCAAGGACAGCUGGAAACCACCAGAAGCUAAGAAGGAGAUUUUACCUGAAAGCCUCCCAAAGGAAUCAGUCAUACCCACACCUCCUUUUUGAAUUUCUGGCCUCGUGAAUGGUGAAAAAAUGAAUUUCUAUCAUCUUAAGCCCUGUGGUUUGUGGUCAUUUAUUCUGUUCCUAGCCUUAGGAAACUAACACAGCAUGCUAAGGGAAAAGAAGAAAAUUCUGCAUAAAAUGUCAUUUUACUUUUUAAA